UUCCUCUCCCUCUCCCUCUCCUUCUCCCUCUCCCUCUCUCUCUCAGCGCUGGCUUCUCACUGAAAAGCAACCAACAUCUUUCCUAACAAGCAUCCACAAGGCCACCGAAGCCACGCCCACUCCUCGCAGCAGCGGUCCCAGAAAUUGGCCUCAGCAUCCUUCCUCCAAAAAGCACAGCAGCAGCAGCAGCAGCAGCAGCGCUGGGAGCUCAGAGGCGCGCUGCAGGUGAUGGAAGCUGGACCCAGAGAUGCGGCCCCCUGCUCCUGGGUCUCCUCGGGGCUCCCUCCCCUCCCCUCUAUUCUCCAAUAAUCCUUAACCCUUUUUAUACCCUGCCAGCCAUGGGGGUUGGGAAGCAGCCAGGCUGUGAAGCCCUCUGAUUUUCUGCAGGUCUUGCGUUUGGCAGUGCGAGCCAACAUACUGAGCUGUUUCCUGAUUACCCGGGAGUGUAUCCAGAAUGAAGAAACUAGACCUCGGUAAAAGUGAGCAGCAUAUCCAGACCACUACUGGGAGUGGGAAGGGCUGAGGAUGCAGCUCAGGUGAGAGUGCUUGCCUAGGAUGACGUCCUAAAUUUGAUCCCCAGCACUGCAUAAACCUGGCAUGGGGCUGUGCGCUUGUAAUCUCGGCAUUUGGGAGAAGGAGGCAAGAGGAUCAGAAAUUCAAGGUCUCUGCACACCCCAUCCCUGACUACUGACCACAGAGGGGAAGAGCUUAGACACCACGGUAAACAGAGAAACCCAAAUGUGAAUACAGAUCCUACUUUCACCCUGAUUAAGUGGCUCAGUGACCCCAAGCUUGGGUUUCCUCGUUUGAAUAAAACACGAAACUGGAAAGCACAGAAUGCUGUGAAUUCUGGUUGUACAACAACAGGAAGUACAAUGUGAACUGCAUGGGAGACAUUCACUGGACAAUGAGUGACCCCGUGUGGCAGAAGAUCAAUGCGGCUGUUGGAACCUCAACAUUUCCAAGGCUCCUGCUUCACAGUGAACAGAGGAGAUCUGGCUCCUCCGGUGGAACAGAGGAGGACACAACCCACUGGUGGCAGAAAAGGAUUGGUCACCAAGACCCACUGACUUGUUCUCCAUUUCUUCCUCUCUACCAGGAUGGUCAGAAUGGCAUGUGUCUAUAGUCCCAGCACUGAGGAGGAUCAGAAGGUCAAGCUACAUCAGAAAUUCAAGUCUAGGCUGGGCUACAUGAGACCCUGUCUCAAAAAACAAACAAGCAAAUGAAUAAAUAGGGAAAUCAUAA